GACCUUCCCAGUUCAGAAUGGCGCAGACAAAAGCAAGCAAUGCUGAGGAUGUCUUUACUGGAGUAGCUGCCCUGGGAAGAGUGGGUCAUGGAACUCCAGUGUUUGAUCAAGAAAGAACUGUGGCUGGAUGAGGCAUACUGGGCGCUACGGUGGUACUUGGUCCAAAGGUGCCCUUGAAUGGCGGAGAAUGAAAGACCAGAGGGGGAUGACUACAAUGGCCCUGGCCUGCUAUGGGAGGCAUAAGAGGAGGAAAGUGAUUUCGGCAGCACAGAGGAGUCUCGGUAUUGGGACAUUCAGGAAUACGGUAUGGACGCACUGGAGCUAUCUGAUACUACAGGCCUGGGACCAGAUAUCACCUGUCAGGUCGCUAUUGAAUGGGAACUGGAGCAAGAAUAUCAGAACCUAUGAGAGGAGAUGAUUGGUCCCUCUGCCCAGCGGCAAUGUACUAUGCAGGUAGAGGAGACAACUGGUCUCUCUCCCUAGCGGCAGCCAGAGUUACAGGUAGAGGAGAUGAUCUGUCCCUCUCCACAGCAGCAGCAAGCAUCACUGGGAGUGGAGAUAGUCGGUCUCACUACCUAGCACCAAACAGCGUCACAGUGAAUGGAGACAGUCAGUCUCACUCCUCAGCGGCAGUGUACCAGGCAGGGAGAGGAGACAAC